rnacentral:rRNA from 1 species
AUACGGAGGGUACGAACGUUAAUCGGAAUUACAGGGCGUAAAGCGCGCGUAGGUGGUUUGUUAAGUGGGAUGUGAAAGCCCCGGGCUCAACCUGGGAAUUGCAUUCCAAACUGACGAACUAGAGUACGAUAGAGGGAGGUAGAAUUCAGAGUGUAGCGGUGAAAUGCGUAGAUAUUCUGAGGAAUACCGGUGGCGAAGGCGGCCUCCUGGAUUGAUACUGACACUGAGGUGCGAAAGCGUGGGGAGCAAACAGGAUUAGAAACCCCAGUAGUCC